UACGUAGGGGGCAAGCGUUGUCCGGAUUUAUUGGGCGUAAAGAGCGUGUAGGCGGCUUUACAGGUCCGUUGUGAAAACUCGAGGCUCAACCUCGAGACGCCGGUGGAAACCGUAAAGCUAGAGUCCGGAAGAGGAGAGUGGAAUUCCUGGUGUAGCGGUGAAAUGCGCAGAUAUCAGGAGGAACACCGGUGGCGAAGGCGGAUCUCUGGGCCUUACCUGACGCUGAGGAGCGAAAGCGUGGGUAGCGAACAGG
rnacentral:rRNA from 1 species